rnacentral:rRNA from 1 species
GUGGGGAAUCUUGCGCAAUGGGCGAAAGCCUGACGCAGCCAUGCCGCGUGAAUGAUGAAGGUCUUAGGAUUGUAAAAUUCUUUCACCGGGGACGAUAAUGACGGUACCCGGAGAAGAAGCCCCGGCUAACUUCGUGCCAGCAGCCGCGGUAAUACGAAGGGGGCUAGCGUUGCUCGGAAUUACUGGGCGUAAAGGGCGCGUAGGCGGACAGUUUAGUCAGAGGUGAAAGCCCAGAGCUCAAGCUUGGAAUUGCCUUUGAUACUGGAUGUCUUGAGUACGGGAAAGGUGAGGGGAACUCCGAGUGUAGAGGUGAAAUUCGUAGAUAUUCGGAAGAACACCAGUGGCGAAGGCGACUCACGGGCCCGUUACUGACGCUGAGGCGCGAAAGCGUGGGGAGCAAACAGGAUUAGAAACCCCAGUAGGCC